UACGUAGGGGGCAAGCGUUGUCCGGAAUCAUUGGGCGUAAAGAGCGUGUAGGCGGUUCGGUAAGUCGGCUGUGAAAGUCCAGGGCUCAACCCUGGGAUGCCGGUCGAUACUGUCGGGCUCGAGUCCGGAAGAGGAGUGUGGAAUUCCUGGUGUAGCGGUGAAAUGCGCAGAUAUCAGGAGGAACACCAAUGGCGAAGGCAGCACUCUGGGACGUGACUGACGCUGAGACGCGAAAGCGUGGGGAGCAAACAGG
rnacentral:rRNA from 1 species